rnacentral:rRNA from 1 species
UCGGGAAUUUUGGGCAAUGGGGGAAACCCUGACCCAGCAACGCCGCGUGAAGGAUGAAGUAUUUCGGUAUGUAAACUUCGAAAGAAUAGGAAGAAUAAAUGACGGUACUAUUUAUAAGGUCCGGCUAACUACGUGCCAGCAGCCGCGGUAAUACGUAGGGACCAAGCGUUGUUCGGAUUUACUGGGCGUAAAGGGCGCGUAGGCGGCAUGACAAGUCACUUGUGAAAUCUCUGGGCUUAACCCAGAACGGCCAAGUGAUACUGUCGCGCUAGAGUGCAGAAGGGGCAAUCGGAAUUCUUGGUGUAGCGGUGAAAUGCGUAGAUAUCAAGAGGAACACCUGAGGUGAAGACGGGUUGCUGGGCUGACACUGACGCUGAGGCGCGAAAGCCAGGGGAGCAGACGGGAUUAGAUACCCUAGUAGUCCCUGAGCGGGCUGGCAAGGCG